rnacentral:lncRNA from 1 species
GUUUGAUCGUUGAAACGCACAAGUUACCAAGGGCAAAUUCAUGGGAAAUUUAGGCACUUUCGGUCAAUGGGUUGUUCCAGAAAAGAUCCAUACCCCCCAUGCUGUCCGAAGGUGGAGUGAGGAAAAAUGUCUUAGGAUGUCCGAAGGGAGGGGGGGCGGGAGGAAUUUGUCCGAAGGUUUUAGACAGUGAUAAAGCUAUGUGAUCGGCGAUAAUUAUAAUGAACACGCAAUUUUUAUCGGCUAUAGCCCUUAAAAACCGGAAUGUUUAUGUAACAGCAAU